UCAGUUUUUAAGCUAUAACUGUUGAGGAAAUUCCAUUGAAUAAGUGUGAUAUUUUUUUAAUGAGUGAAAGUUAUCGUACUAAUAUGCAAUAAUAUUUGUCUGUAGUUUUACCUGCGGCAGGAAAUAUUGGGCUUUCUCAAUCGUUUGGAAUAGGGGAUAAUUUUAAACAAAUUCUCCAAACCACGGUUCAACAAAACAAUGUAAUACACGGUAUUGUCGAAGAUUGCAAGAGUAAAGGCUUCGUGGACGAUAAAUCUUCGACAAUUCUCAUUAAUGAAUUUGUGUCAAAACUUAUAGAGAUAAAGGGAGACUCACCUGCGACGUCGGUGCAAAAACAAUUCGCCGCAGCAAUUGUUGAAAUUCUCCCCUGCUGGCGUUAUUCUGGCUCAAAAGAUGGC